rnacentral:rRNA from 1 species
CAGCCGCGGUUAUUCCAGCUCUCAAAAUGCAUAGAACCAUUGCUGCGGUUAAAAAGCUCGUAGUUGGAUCUGUGCCGGCUCCCCGGUCCAUCGCAAGAUGCGCACUGGUGGCAGCCGGCUUUCCUGUGGCUCACAGCCCGGCGGCCCUCACGGACAGCCGGUGCCUGGGGCUACAACUUUACUUUGAACAAAUCAGAGUGCUCAAAACAGGCGUUUCGCUUGAAUGUUCGUGCAUGGAAUAAUAGAAGAGGAUUUCGGUUCAAUUUUAUUGGUUUUAUUGACUGAGAUAAUGGUUAACAGAGACAAACGGGGGCAUUAGUAUUGCCACGUGAGAGGUGAAAUUCUUGGACCGUGGCAAGACUGACUACAGCGAAAGCAUUUGCCAAGAAUGUCUUCAUUAAUCAAGAACGAAAGUCAGAGGUUCGAAGGCGAUCAGAUACCGCCCUAGUUCUAACCGUAAA